rnacentral:lncRNA from 1 species
CACAGCCUUGUUUUCUCUAGAUCAGAGAGAUGGCUUCUGGAUUCAUCUUUCCCUGCAAUCCAGCUUCUCCUCCUGGGGCCCUCAUACUGGAGACUGGGAUCAUCAUCCAGGCUUUUGCACUGGGCCAGGAAUUUGGGAGUCAUCCUGGAUCCGUCUGCCCCUGUCAACCUUUCGCUGUCAACGGAUAUUUAUUGGGCGUCCUCAACAGCCAGGCCCUGUUCAUGGUACUGAAGAACAGCUUGUAUAAAACAACCCUGCCCUCACAGGGCGAUCACCAGUGACCUGUGGUGUGGAGUCUCCUUUUACCUAUGUCUCCUCCUUCCCACUGUCACCAUCCUUGGUCCUCCUCUGUCACCUGGAAUACUCCACUUGGUAACCAGCAUGAUCUUAUAACGCUAGUUUUACCCUUGUCAGCACUUUGCCAAAAACCUCAAAUAAAGACUUUUUUUAAAAUGUGCAAUGGAAAAAUAAAGUUAUAAAUUAUAUCAUAAAAAAAAAAAAA